UUGGGCGUAAGAGCUCGUAGGCGGUUUGUCGCGUCUGCUGUGAAAUCCCGAGGCUCAACCUCGGGCCUGCAGUGGGUACGGGCAGACUAGAGUGCGGUAGGGGAGAUUGGAAUUCCUGGUGUAGCGGUGGAAUGCGCAGAUAUCAGGAGGAACACCGAUGGCGAAGGCAGAUCUCUGGGCCGUAACUGACGCUGAGGAGCGAAAGGGUGGGGAGCAAACAGGCUUAGAUACCCUGGUAGUCCACCCCGUAAACGUUGGGAACUAGUUGUGGGGACCAUUCCACGGUUUCCGUGACGCAGCUAACGCAUUAAGUUCCCCGCCUGGGGAGUACGGCCGCAAGGCUAAAACUCAAAGGAAUUGACGGGGACCCGCACAAGCGGCGGAGCAUGCGGAUUAAUUCGAUGCAACGCGAAGAACCUUACCAAGGCUUGACAUAUACGAGAACGGGCCAGAAAUGGUCAACUCUUUGGACACUCGUAAACAGGUGGUGCAUGGUUGUCGUCAGCUCGUGUCGUGAGAUGUUGGGUUAAGUCCCGCAACGAGCGCAACCCUCGUUCUAUGUUGCCAGCACGUAAUGGUGGGAACUCAUGGGAUACUGCCGGGGUCAACUCGGAGGAAGGUGGGGAUGA
rnacentral:rRNA from 1 species